UCACGUGGUUUUGGGUUUUAGAUUCGCCACUUCCGAGUAAUUGAGUAAUUGGAUAUAACAAAAAUAUAAAACAAAGUAACUUUGCUAAAAGUUAUUUUAAAAAUAUUUCUAUACAAUUACUUUUAAUUUUUUUUUUCUUUUGUUAUCUCCAAAUACUAUCACAAAAAGUAAGAAAUAUCUAUCUUUUAAAAUGGCUGGCCUGACCCUCAAACUAACCAGAAAUAACCCGCCUUUUUUUUCUUUAUUGUUCAUAUGGAUCGUAGCUCACGUUCACAUCGCUCUUCACCACAGCCAGGGAGAAGGCUUCUCCUGCAAUCGCGUCCCUCCUACGAACUCCGCUGCAUCCUCCUCCGACCGACGCUCCAGAUCACCGUUGCCGGCGCCGGCUACUCUCCAUCUCUGAUCUGAUUGCAAACUGAGAAAGCUUCCAUUGAAAUGGAGACGUUGCAGUAUCAGAGAAUGAUGGAAGAACAAGCGGAAUAUGAUCAAGAAGCCAUAAUUCAGAUACUUAAAGGUAUAUGCUUAUUCUCAAGGAGAAAUUAAGAUAUUAAGAUGAUGGAAAAAAAGCUUAAGAUUUAUAGAGAGAAAUAUGGAGAAAUUAACAAGGAACACUACAAGGAAAAAGGUUAUUACCGGCGACAAAAGUCGCCGGUAAGAAUCUCAAAAGUCGUUGGUAAUAUUAAUAGCGGCGACGCGUCGCCGGUACUGAGUCGUCGCUACUGUUUCGUCGCUAUUGGUCACUAUGUCACCGCUAAUGAGUUAUGUCGCCGCUAAUAAGUAUGUCGCCGGUAAUAAUACUCGCCGAUUUCAGCUUUAUAGGAUGUUGAAUAACUUGGAAAAUCUCAUACAUUCGACUAUAGAUGAUGUGGGUGUUCACGAUGAUAAAGAUAUAGAAGAAGAAAAGAAGGCAAGCUUGGAAAGAGAGAUGUUUUUGAUUAAGGAAAGAAUCAGUGUAAUGGAAUCAUAUAGUGGAUACUUGAAGCACACUGAAAUGACACUCCAAAAGGGUGAUGAAUGAGAUGACCUUCUUACAGAGAUAACUCAAAAUCUUUGAAAGCUCAGGACAUGAAAAAACACAUAGUAAAAUUAAAUUAAUAGUCUUAAAUUUUGACCAUUUUGUUUUAGUUUUUGAUAGGAAAAAAAAAAUUAACAAAUAAGCAAGGUGAGGUGAUUUUGCAUGCCUGGAGAGGUGCUCAGUAAGGGUAGUGACAAGUAGAAAAUCAAAAGGUCAGUAAAAUUUUCCUCACAUUGGCAUUUCCAUACUUCCUCAAGCACUCAUCAUAAAAUCCAUACCUGAAAGGAGACAUGAAAGUCAUGGAAUUCUUUGCAUUGUUCAAACUUAAAAGACCAUUGUAGAAGCACACACUCCAUCUUAGAUUCGUAUUUUACGUCAUUCGGCGUCGUGCCGGUUCUGUCGCGAAACUUCGACAUGUCAUAACUUCUUCGUUAUAACUCGAAUUUCGGCAUUCUAUAUAUAUUCGGAAACCUCGUUUCAACUACUACAACCUUAUCCAUAUAUAUAGGCUUUAUCUAACAUUUUAUUUUGACGCUUAUUUUCAUUCUUAAUUUAAUUAAGUCACACAACUAAGCACAAAACACAUAAUACUCAAAAAAUACAUCUUUAUUAUUUCAAGAUGGGUUACAAAGGUUAACCUAGACUAUUAAAUCGCUAUUAAUGACAAGCCCAUAAACACAGGCGUUACAAUUGUCUUCACCUUAGAAUGAUUCCAUCCCCGGAAUCACACAUCAACAAACAAAUGCGGGUAGCGACUCAUCAUGUCACUCUCCGUCUCCCAGGUGAGAUUCGGCCCAUUCGUGUGUUUCCAUCGGACAAGCACUAACUCGACCAUCUUGCGUCGCAACUUCCUAGUCUUUCGGUCAACGAUUGCCUCUGGUUCUUCAAUCAACCUUUUGUUCUCAUCAAUUCUCAACUCCGAAAGUGGAAUCAUGUCGGGAACUUUUCCCGUGAACUUCCUCAAAUAACACACAUGGAAAGUGUUAUGAAUUCCAUUCAGUUCUUCUGGUAGUUCGAGCUUGUAAGCUUGGUUUCCAAUCCUCUAAAGAACUUUAAACGGUCUAAUAAUCCUUGGACUUAAUUUUCCCCUUUUAUCAAAUCUUAUAAGUCCCUUCCACAGCGAGACUUAAAGCAAAACCGAAUCUCCAACUUCAAAAGUCAUCAGUCUUCGCUUGUUGUCAGCGUAGCUCUUUUGAAGAUCCUGAGAUGCUAACAUUCUUUCCCUAAUUAUUUUCAACUUUUCAGCAGUUUGAUGGACUAUCUCCAAUCCCAUAAACUGCUUUUCCCCAGCCUCAAGCCAACAAGACGGCUUAUGACACUUUUGCCCGUACAAAGCUUGAUAAGGUGCCAUCUUAAUGCUCAAGUGGAAACUAUUAUUGUAGGAAAAUUCUACCAAAGGUAAAUGUUCAUCCCAAUUACCUUGGAAUUCCAGGGUACAUGCUCUCAGCAUAUCUUCAAGUGUUUGUAUCGUCCGUUUGCUCUGACCAUCAGUCUGUGGAUGGUAAGCUGUACUUAAACGCAACUUGGUACCUAAUUCCUCUUGUAGACAUUUCCAAAAUCGUGAGGUGAAACGGCUAUCACGAUCUGACACAAUCGUUAACAGAACACCGUGAAGCCUCAUAAUUUCCUUCACGUAAGAAUUCGCAAGCUUAUCCAUAGACCACUUCUCCUUGGCUGCUAUGAAAUGCGCACUCUUAGUGAAUCGAUCAACGACCACCCAAAUCAUGUCGUGACCAUUCUUUGUUAUGGGUAGUUUAGUUACAAAAUCCAUAGAAAUGUCUUCCCAUUUACCCAUAGGAACAAGUAAAGGUUCGAAACUCCCAUAUGGUUUUUGAUGUUAUGUCUUGACUCUCGCACAAGUCACACACUCAGCCACAUACUUUGCAACAGCAAGCUUCAUCGUCGGCCACCAGUAGUAAGGUUUCAGGUCCCUAUACAUUUUAGUGCUACCGGGAUGAAUCGAGUACAUGGUCUUGUGAGCUUCUUCCAUCAGAAUAUCUUUGACUCCUCCUGUCUUAGGUAUCCAAAUCCGAUCUUGGAACACCUUCAGUCCAUGACUGUUUACACCGAACACCAACGUUUUUCUCAAACGUUCCUCCUUUCGGUCAUUCUUCUCAGAAGCUUCCUCUUGAGCUUUCUUUAUACUUUCCACAAUGGUCGAGACAACUUCAAUUCUCAACGCUUUUGGCCUCUUCCUUUCAAGAUUGACUUUCCGACUGAGAGCACCAACAACAACAUUUGCUUUACCGGGGUAGUAAAGUAUCUCGCAGUCAUAGUCCUUAAGUAACUCUAGCCAACGUCGUUGCCUCAUAUUCAAUUCUUUCUGAUUAAAGAGAUAUUGGAGACUCUUAUAAUCAGUGAAAAGUUUGCACUUCGUGCCACAAAGGUAAUGCCUCCGUAUCUUCAGAGCGAAAACUACCGCUGCCAACUCCAAAUCAUGAGUCGGGUAGUUCUUUUCAUGCUCUUUCAACCGUUGAGACGCAUAUGCGAUCACCUCUACCCUUUGGGUCAAAACGCAACCCAAUCCAACCCCAGACGCAUCGCUAUAAACAACGAAGUCUCAACUCCAUCGGACAGAGAAAAUAUUGGUACCUCGCAUAGUUUCUUCUUUAGCUUCUCGAAUGCUUCUUUAUGCUUAUCACUCCAAACAUAAGUAGCUCCUUUGUGGGUCAAAGCUGUCAACAGGCUAGCGAUCGAAGAAAAGCCUUGGAUAAACCUUCGGUAAUAUCCGGCUAAUCCCAAAAAUCUUCGGAUCUCCGUAGGACUUAAUGGUGGUUCCCACUUGUAACGGCUGUGUUUUUGGGCUUGUGAUUAAUAGCGAUUUAAUAGUCUAGUUUAACCUUUGUAACCCAUCUUUAAAUAAUAAAGAUGUAUUAUUUGAGUAUUAUGUGUUUUGUGCUUAGUUGUGUGACUUAAUUAAAUUAAGAAUGAAAAUAAGCGUCAAAAAUAAAAUGUUAGAUAAAGCCUAUAUAUAUGGAUAAGGUUGUAGUAGUUGAAACGAGGUUUACGAAUAUAUAUAGAAUGCCGAAAUCCGAGUUAUAACGAAGAAGUUAUGACAUGUCGAAGUUUCGCGACAGAACCGGCACGACGCCGAAUGACGUAAGAUACGAAUCUAAGAUAGAGCGAUAUCUAGCCUUAGUAAUCUAAACAAAAGUCAUAGAGUUCGUUAAACCGAGAGCGUGCAUAAAAAGAAUGCCCAAAUCUGACUUCGUAUGAGGAAGUUAUGAUUUUUCGAAGUUUCGGCUUAGCAGUAGACAGCCCGGAUACUCGAUUUGAGAUCGAGCGGUUUUUAGCCGAAACAAUCUAAACGAGAAUCGAAGAUCUCAUCAAUGGUAGUGCAACGGUAAAAUGAUAGACGAAAACGGACGUCGGAUGAAGAAGUUAUGAAUUUCAAACGGAGUUUUCCUGUCUCGGCCUACUAAAAAUAAUAUAUUUAUAAUAUAAUAAAAAUAAAUUCAAAAGUAGCCAACGGAUUCUAAAAGAGAGUUGUAGAUCAUAAUCUCACCUACGCGUGGAUAUAAAGAACGUCGAAAACGGAACUCGUAUGCGAAAGAUAUGAAUUUCUGAAGUUCGGGGCACGAACUUCCACCCCUGUCAGAGGUCACGAGGUGAGCAUUAAGUGGCUCACGAGGUGAGCAGAUGAUGGACGUUUUCUAGGGCAUGUGGCCAUAACAAACUCAAUGACGUAUCGAGCCCACGAGGUGAAUAUUAUAAACUCACGAGGUGAGUUUAGCAUUUUCUCCCUAUAAAUAGAAUUCAAGGGUGAGCCGAUUUAGGUUGCUCAUCUCUUACUCUCCCACUCCCGAUACAAUCUCUAAGCCCUAUUUUAACCCCCUGAAGCCCUGGUAUCAUUCCCGAGACCCGAAGCCUGAAGAUCCCAAGAAGAAAAGAGUUUCCAAGCCGAAGCUCUGCCUGCGAGAAGCCCGGUGUGUGAAGAUCUUCCAGAUCUAUCGAAAAAUACUACUUCUACAAGUCGUAGUGCUGUCUGAUCAUCUUCUGAUCAAGUAGUGGCGCGAGGGCAUAAGAUGGAUGUAUCAUCAAGUUGUUUUGUUUACAAGUCUGUAUAUGUAUAUAUUUUUUGAAUGACUUGUCAUGUUAUCGUUUAUGCUUUAUGGUAUGUAUCGGAACAUGACAUCCUGAGUUUUGAUUAUAUAAUGAAAAUGUAUCUGUUGAUGAAA